rnacentral:tRNA from 1 species
UCUCUGUUAGUAUAUCGGUUAGUACACGCGCCUGUCAUUAAAUAACGACCGCGCGAAAGCUGGGUUCGACUCCCAGACAGAGAG